rnacentral:tRNA from 1 species
UUAGGGGCCGAAUCCUUACAAGAAAACACAAGAACAGGGCGAAUGGUCUAG